CUCACGACUCUCGGCAACGGAUAUCUUGGCUCUUACCACGAUGAAGAACGUAACGAAAUGCGAUAUUUAGUGUGAAUUGUAGAAUCCCAUGAAUCAUCAAGUCUUUGAACGCAAGUUGUGGCCGAGGCUGGUGAGGGCACAUCUACUUUGGCAUUGCAU
rnacentral:rRNA from 1 species